rnacentral:lncRNA from 1 species
AGGGAGAAAAAUUGUUCUUCUUAACCUCUGAGGAUAGGACAAGAAGCAACGGGCUUAAAUUGCAGCAGGGGAGGUUUAGGUUGGACAUUAGGAAAAACUUCCUAACUGUCAGGGUGGUUAAGCACUGGAAUAAAUUGCCUGGGGAGAUUGUGGAAUCUCCAUCAUUGGAGAGGUUUAAGAGCAGGUUGGACAAACACCUGUCAGGGAUGAUCUAGAUCAUACUUAGUCCUACCAUGAGUGCAGGGGACUGGACUAGGUGACCUCUCGAGGUCCCUUCCAGUCCUAUGAUGCUAUGAUUGCCCAGAUGGGGAACUGGGGCCCAAGGGACUUGCCCGCGGUCACAUAGGAAGGCUGGUGUAGAACAGGGACUAGUACCCCUGUUAUAGACUAGUGCUCUAACCACUGGGCAGCCCAUCCUCUCACCCCCUUUGCUUCCUGCUCUCCUGCCCUCCAGUUCUUCCUCCCCUUUUCCUGGGCUCCAUGGGGAGCAUCUGGGAGAGGCUUGGUGCAGACCAAGGCGGGCUCCUGGCAACACGCCCUCCCUGGCUGGGGAAGCGACUGGCGAAGGCAAUAGCGAUGUAGGGACCCCCCCAACGCUGCCCCAGCAGCAGCCGAAGUGAGCUGGGGAGGCCGGGAGCCCGGGAGGGAGGGGAGGGAACUCUCCCAGCCCACCUUAAGCCGGCAACGUAGGGCUGAUUCAGGCAGGCAGGGAUGACCUUAGAAAAACAAGUUUGUGCGGAGCCAGGCAGGGCCCCGCCGCACCAGCCCGGCAAGCUACCUUAAAUCGGGGCUGGGCUGAGAGCCGGGGGGUGGGGGGUGUUCUCGGCACUGGCGCGCGGUGCAAGCAGUCCUGCCUGCUAGGCAACGGGGGGAGGCGGGUGUCUGCACAGCUCCAGCCGCAGCAGCUGGGAACCGGAGCGGGAGACAGGGCGGCCGCAGGAGCCGGGCUGCAGGUCCGCGCGCUGCCUCUCCCGGGGGCGCCCAGGGCGCGCGGCUGCAGCGCCCCGGGGCUGAGCGCUCCCCCUGCGGCUGGCUGCCCCGGUGCGCCCCGGCAGCCGCGGGCUCCCGGCUGCUCCCCGCCGCCGCGGGGGCGUUGCAGCGGCUGGUUCGCAGGGGUCGCCGCGCCCGGGAUUUGGACCGCGCCUGGGCAGAGCCCACCGCCUGCGGCAGGCGCCAGCGAUGGAGGCUCUCGCCAGCCCUGCCCGCUGGGUGCCCUACGUGCUGCUCCUCGCCCUGCACGGCUGGCCGGGUAAGUGCUGCUGUUGGGUCCUGUCUGGAUCCCGGCCCCCGCCCCCCUCUCUUCCUUUCCCUGGUGUCUGGU